rnacentral:rRNA from 1 species
GGCGACCGGCGCACGGGUGAGUAACACGUACCCAACCUGCCGAUAACUCGGGGAUAGCCUUUCGAAAGAAAGAUUAAUACCCGAUGGUAUAAUCAGACCGCAUGGUCUUGUUAUUAAAGAAUUUCGGUUAUCGAUGGGGAUGCGUUCCAUUAGGCAGUUGGUGAGGUAACGGCUCACCAAACCUUCGAUGGAUAGGGGUUCAGAGAGGAAGGUCCCCCACAUUGGAACUGAGACACGGUCCAA